GAUGAACGCUGGCGGCGUGCCUAAUACAUGCAAGUCGAGCGAAUGGAUUAAGAGCUUGCUCUUAUGAAGUUAGCGGCGGACGGGUGAGUAACACGUGGGUAACCUGCCCAUAAGACUGGGAUAACUCCGGGAAACCGGGGCUAAUACCGGAUAACAUUUUGAACCGCAUGGUUCGAAAUUGAAAGGCGGCUUCGGCUGUCACUUAUGGAUGGACCCGCGUCGCAUUAGCUAGUUGGUGAGGUAACGGCUCACCAAGGCAACGAUGCGUAGCCGACCUGAGAGGGUGAUCGGCCACACUGUGACUGAGACACGGCCCAACCUCCUACGGGAGGCAGCAGUAGGGAAUCUUCCGCAAUGGACGAAAGUCUGACGGAGCAACGCCGCGUGAGUGAUGAAGGCUUUCGGGUCGUAAAACUCUGUUGUUAGGGAAGAACAAGUGCUAGUUGAAUAAGCUGGCACCUUGACGGUACCUAACCAGAAAGCCACGGCUAACUACGUGCCAGCAGCCGCCGUAA
rnacentral:rRNA from 1 species